AACGCAUAUUGCGCCCUUUGGUAUUCCGAAGGGCAUGCCUGUUCGAGCGUCAUUAAUACCUCAAGCCCCGCUUGGUGUUGACAGCGCAGUGCGCUGCCGAAACGCAGCGGCGACGUAGCCGGCCCCUGGCGCAGUGCCUUGCUCGCCCGGUGUCGGUCGUGCGUUUGCCGGACAACGCCCCUAUUCUCAUUGACCUCGGAUCAGGUAGGACUACCCGCUGAACUUAA
rnacentral:misc_RNA from 1 species